AAUAAGAAAAGCAGAACUCGCACUUGAAAAAGGAGCUGAUUUUAUAAUGUAUGAGUAUUGGGGUAAAUUUACAGUAAAUUAAGGAAAAACUUAAGUUCAUUAAUAAGAAAUAUAGAAUUCACGCAAUGAUAAAAGCAGCGGGAUUGGAUUUUAGUACAUCUGACGUAAAUUAAGGAAAAAACUUAAUUAAAAAGAAAAAGCAGAAUUCACACAAUUUGAAAAAGUAGCUGAAUUUUAUAAAAGAGGAUUUCAAAAGUUAAGGAAAAACUUAAGUUCAUUAAUAAGAAAAUGCAGAAUUCACAUAACUAUAAAAGCAGCUGAAUUUUAUAAAGUAAAUGAGGAUUUCAUUAAUAAAUUUUAAGUAAAUUAAGGGCAAACUUAAGUUCAUUAAUAAGAAAAAGCAGAAUUGACACAAUAACCCAAUAAACCAGAGGUCGACUGUCAGUGGGUUUCAAAGGCUGAUGGAAGAAUUGUCCUAUUUAUCACAUGAUGAAGUGGCUAACAUUAGCUCUUAAUUACAUCUGAGUCAAAAUAAUAUCUUAAAUAAAUAAGUAACAAUAUCCAAAUCUGUCUGAACAUUAAACUAAGGUAAAAAAUCUAAGUGUGAGUGAAUUUUAACUGUCAUUUCUCAGUCAUUUCAGUUAAAAAAUAAUAAAAAGGAUCCUUUAGCUUGUACCGAUCCUAAGUAAAAUGUGCUUUCAUGAGCUCCUGGUCUCCAGCUGUGCUUUAAAACACUCAGACGAACCCUUUUACGGUUGAAUCAAACCCACUCUUCUGCUCCCUCAGUGUUGUCAGGUUCAGUAUUUAAUCAGUCUUCCAUUCGUCGGAGGUUGUGACGUCGUGACUCGCUCCCGUCCGGCAUUAAAGCGGCGGCGUUGGCGUUAGUUUGGGACGCCGGCGUGGUUCUGUCCACCCUCUCCUCCUCUGCUCCACGGACCUCGAGGUCGUCCGAAAAAAAAAAA